CGCUUCACUGCUCUCUCUGCUUGUUUUAAAUGACAGUUAACUUCAGUCUCUAGUGAUUCACUUACAGAAUGGCCUCCCACUGUCUGCUGAUGUGUGUUUUGCUGGUCUUUGCUCACUAUUCUAGUGGACAGAAUAUUCUGACUCAGACACCACAGGUUCAGACUUUCCUAGCAGGACAAAGUGUCUCAAUCAAGUGCAAAGCCCAAAGCUCUAUAAGCAACAACUACCUGCAUUGGUACCUGAUGAGACCUGAUGAAAGGCCUAAACUUCUGAUCUAUAAUGCAAACAGCCGUGUCUCUGGAAUCCCAGCACGUUUCACUGGAAGUGGAUCAGGGACCGACUUCACUUUGACCAUCAGUGAUAUCCAGACUGAGGAUGCAGGAGUCUAUUACUGUCACCAGCCUUGGAAUCCUGACACACAGUGAUCAACAGUCGAACAAAAACCUCUCUGAUUCAGAAGUGCAGGGCAUGACACAGGUGCAGAGAGAGGAACUGCAGAAAAAGAGACCGACAGAGAAGUGAGCUCCAGAGUUAAAAGUAGGCCAAGAACUGCAGUGAGAAGUCAAUCAGUGGAUAAUGUCUGUUAUUCUGGUUUGUAAUUUAGGAUGCACUGACUGCAUGUCUUUCAUUAGAAGUUAUGUCAGCCAUUCAAGUGGGUUAUGAUUAA